rnacentral:miRNA from 1 species
UGACCAUAGUCUCUUGGACCC